UCAGCCAAGAUGAGGUAUCCAGAGGCCAGGGCCGGCGCCACCCAUAAGCAAAGUACGCCACCGCGUAGAGCGCACUCUUGCUGGGGGUGCCGGCGCCGCUCUUGCCAGGCUUAGCAUUAGGACCUUUUUAUCCGGCCCCCAGCGCCGCC